GGGGUGGGAAGAAUGUUAUCUCUGUUCCCGUUUCCUCCCUCUGGUGCUCCAAAACCCAGCAAUAGGAAAAUCAACAGAGAAAGGAGAGCGAAGCAGCUGCAGGGAGCUGCUUUCUUAGCAAGCUCACCCUUAUUCUGCAGUGCUUAGAUAAGGGAGCAGCGAGGAGGUUACUAAAUUUCUCAGUUGCUGACAAAAUGAGUGAGAAUGUGAAAAUCAUGGUAAUUUUAGGUUCCACAGUAAAGGGCCUCGGCAUCGUAAUACCGGCAGCCGUUGUUCCGUGUGUGUGUGCUGCCGCUGUGAUGAUCACUGUUGCCUGUGUCGCUGAAAGGGUCAUCAAUAAACCCAAUAAUGAAUGAGCAUGAAAGAAUGAAGCUGAACCCGAGCGAGUUGCUCCUUGUCACAUUGUGUGUCUUUGCCCAAGGAAACUAAGCACAAAUAAAUCAUUCAGUUGGAUGUAU